rnacentral:tRNA from 1 species
GCACACUUAGCUCAGUGGUUAGAGCACACUUCUAGAGAGGGUAAAAUCAGUCAUGGGUUUGAACUCCAUAGUGCACA